rnacentral:rRNA from 1 species
CACGUGGACAACCUGCCUCAAGGCUGGGGAUAACAUUUGGAAACAGAUGCUAAUACCGAAUAAAACUUAGUGUCGCAUGACACAAAGUUAAAAGGCGCUUCGGCGUCACCUAGAGAUGGAUCUGCGGUGCAUUAGUUAGUUGGUGGGGUAAAGGCCUACCAAGACAAUGAUGCAUAGCCGAGUUGAGAGACUGAUCGGCCACAUUGGGACUGAGACACGGCCCAAACUCCUACGGGAGGCUGCAGUAGGGAAUCUUCCACAAUGGGCGAAAGCCUGAUGGAGCAACGCCGCGUGUGUGAUGAAGGCUUUCGGGUCGUAAAGCGCUGUUGUAUGGGAAGAACAGCUAGAAUAGGAAAUGAUUUUAGUUUGACGGUACCAUACCAGAAAGGGACGGCUAAAUACGUGCCAGCAGCCGCGGUAAUACGUAUGUCCCGAGCGUUAUCCGGAUUUAUUGGGCGUAAAGCGAGCGCAGACGGUUUAUUAAGUCUGAUGUGAAAGCCCGGAGCUCAACUCCGGAAUGGCAUUGGAAACUGGUUAACUUGAGUGCAGUAGAGGUAAGUGGAACUCCAUGUGUAGCGGUGGAAUGCGUAGAUAUAUGGAAGAACAC